GAUGAACGCUGGCGGCGUGCCUAAUACAUGCAAGUCGUGCGGAAAGGCCACUUCGGUGGUACUCGAGCGGCGGAUGGCAGAGUAACGCGUAGGAACAUACCCCAAACUGAGGCAUAACUGCUCGAAAGAGCAGCUAAUACCGCAUGUGAUCUUCGGAUUAAAGCUUCGGCGGUUUGGGAAUGGCCUGCGUCCGAUUAGCUAGUUGGUGAGGUAAAUGCUCACCAAGGCUUCGAUCGGUAGCUGGUCUGAGAGGAUGAUCAGCCUGACUGGAACUGAGAACGGUCCAGACUCCUACGGGAGGCAGCAGUAGGGAAUUUUCCACAAUGGGCGAAAGCCUGAUGGAGCAACGCCGCGUGCAGGAUGAAUGCCUUCGGGUUGUAAACUGCUUUUAUAGUGAAGAAUAUGACGGUAACUAAUGAAUAAGGGUCGGCUAACUAACGUGCCAGCAGCCGCGGUAAU
rnacentral:rRNA from 1 species